GAUCAUGGCUCAGGAUGAACGCUAGCUACAGGCUUAACACAUGCAAGUCGAGGGGCAGCAUGUUGGUUGCUUGCAACCAACGAUGGCGACCGGCGCACGGGUGAGUAACGCGUAUCCAACCUUCCGCACACUCGGGAAUAGCCUUUCGAAAGAAAGAUUAAUGCCCGAUGGUUUCCCGAAUCCGCAUGAGGAACGGGAAAUAAAGAUUCAUCGGUGUGCGAGUGGGGAUGCCGUCCCUA
rnacentral:rRNA from 1 species